UACAGAGGGGGCAAGCGUUGUUCGGAAUUAUUGGGCGUAAAGGGCGCGUAGGUGGCUAGGCAAGUCCCGGGUGAAAUCCCUCGGCUCAACCGAGGAACUGCCUUGGAAACUGCCUGGCUCGAGGCCGGGAGAGGGUAGCGGAAUUCCCAGUGUAGCGGUGAAAUGCGUAGAUACUGGGAGGAACACCAGUGGCGAAGGCGGCUACCUGGACCGGUUCUGACACUGAUGCGCGAAAGCGUGGGGAGCAAACAGG
rnacentral:rRNA from 1 species